rnacentral:lncRNA from 1 species
GAGGCUAGGCCAUCGCUGGGCUCAGAGGACAUCACAGCUGGCUUCUCUAGUCCUGGACUCCCAGGAGAUGGCUUCAGAAUGGUCGCCUCUCAGCCUGCCUGGUCCCACACAGUGCCUGGGGAGGUCAGCCCACUGCUGGCUGGAUCCAGAGGUGACCUGGUACCUCCUCCUUCCUCCACAGCCUGCCUUUUUCUUUUUCUCAAAAGCCAUGAAAAGGGAGAUAAUGGAGAUGAAUCAUCUGGCUUCGGACGGAACAAACAAGGCUGUCUGUGACCAGGAGCCCAGGAUGGAAACCCUAGCCUCUACCUGACAGAGGGGUUGGCAAGAGUGGGGCAGAGCUGAGUACCAGGCUCUGGUCCAGAUGCCUUGUGAGCUGGCAUACCUCACUGCCUGCCUUUCUCCCUGCCCAGGUUGGAAACCUGGGGGGCCAGGCUCCCAGGCAAGGCCUUUGAAGGGACACCUGACUCAGCGGGACCUCAGCUUGCCAUUACCCCUUGAUGUCACCCCCUCCUUGCUUAGGCUGUAGAAGGCCUGGGGAGAGGCCAGAGGAGUCUGUCUGCACUGGGCCUUCUCUGGUGAACUUUAAGAAAGCUCAGAGGUGAACUGGCCCAAGGCCCAGGGGCUGAUGGGAGGUGGUUUGGCAGCUGUCUCCAGAAGAGGAGAUCGGAGAGCGGAAGGGAAAAAAGAGGACUCUAGUGUCCCCCAC